rnacentral:lncRNA from 1 species
AUGUCGUGGGUCUCUGGGACAAGGAAGUUCACAGUCCUGGAUGGAAGAAGGGGAACAUCUGCCAAUUUUGCACCAUCAUCUGCCAGAAAUUCCAAGCAACCACAGAGAAAGGAUGUAAUGGAAGGAUGGAAAGGUAUUGAGCCAAGAUCCAGAAUUCUAAUCACAGAGAGAAGCAGUAUCAAACGUUCUCCAAGCUCAGACUUACUUGUUCCCAUCUUGGCAUGUGAGCCACAUAAACCUAUAGGCAAGCCUGGAAGAUAUCAGCCUUCUUGGACCUCCCAUGGAAGAUCCCUGCUAUACAUCUUCAACAGCUGCACACCAUCAGGACAAGUUCUUCAUAGUGAGACAUCGUCAGCUGCCCAUAAACUGAGACCUCUUCUAGACCCAAUAGGUUCAGGAACAGCUCAGUUACUUUUGAGAACUGGCAAAAAGGACAAAUAUGGAUUAGUGAACAGAGCAUGGGAUUAGGUUGUGACCUGCAUUUUAGUUCAGGCUCUCCCACUAACUUGCUGGGUGACUUUGGACAAGUGGCAACUUCCCUUGGCCUAUGUUCCUUGUUUUCUCAUCUUAGUAUACAGAUAAUAAAUAUUACUUUCUCUGGCUAACCUGUCAGGGCUCUUUAAUUGUUACAAAACAAAAAUGUAUAGCAUACAUAGAAACAUGGAAAAAUUACAGUGGGAAAAAUAUUUAAAAUUAUUUUAAGAAAGC